AUUAAUUUUAUUCAAAAUUUCUUGAAAAUUGUGUUUUUUUCUUCUUUGAUUUUAAUAAAUUCUAAUGCUCGCUCAUCAGAAUUGAGAAACGAAGGUACUCUGUAGAACGUCAAGGAACACAAAUAGUGAAGUUUUUGCUGAGUUCUAUCGAAUGUUAUCUGGAUGUUCUGUCCAAGUCUCUCGUGCACCAGGUGGUCAUAAUUUCUGCCCCGCUACUUUAUGGCAACUUGAAGUAUCGAAAAUCGUGGGCAAAGAGGUUAACGUGAGCAAAAAUCCCCCGAGAAUGUUUCAGGGGACUCGUCUGUCGUGAGAGAAAGCAGAUACAUUUCCCACAUGCUUCCCUUUUGUGAUAAACUCCAUAGACAGCGAUACACCCUGCCUUUUACUCUCCCUUCACUUUUACGAAACACUACCUAUACCACAAUUCGGUCUGAAUCUUUAAUCCCUUUUCUGCGCCCUAAGGCAAGAGACAGAGCGAAUUUCCGGUGGGAAAUCGGAAUUGGUUAGCGAUCCACUUAGACAACUUUGUUGGAACUUUAAAAGCUCAAUAGGGAGUACUUUUUUUUUGUUUCUUUUACCUUUUUCCUUCCUCUUUAAAUACAAAAUCUUUCACGCGUUUUCACGCGUAUAUUUGGUAAAAUUUUAACGCUGAUAUUUCUCUGCUUCUUUAUGUAGUGGUUGGGAAUACUGAAAAC